CUAAUCAGUAUUUGGAUUGUUCUGGAUAAGUCCCGUCAUUCACAGUGAUAGCUCCCAGCUUCCACCAUCCCCACCAGGCAUGAUUGUUUAGUUUGAGAGCUGUUCCCUUGGGAGUCACUGGUGUGCUAUUACUUUUGUCAGCUUUAAAAAAUAAUGAUUCUGUGUUCCUGAUGUUUUGAUUUUUGGGGGUUUUAAAAGCAUCUGUGUUUUUGAGCUGAAAAUUAAAAGCAUUGUGGAGGUACUGGUGGUAUUACCCAUUAGGACAGAAUAGGACAUAUAAUUUAUUAUAAGAUGUGAAAAUUUUUCUCUGGUUCCUAACAUUUUCCCUCUAAAGAAUGCUUUUUCUUUCUUUAUAUUCUAUUAUGUAUUUUAAACACCCACUGUGUCAUUUAAAGCGACAUAGCUCUGAUGGGCAAGAUCAUGUCUGAUAUAACCUUUCAUGCCAUCUUGGUCUUACCCUGCUUUGCACAACAGAGGUACCAAGGCUUGGCCCUAAGAAGAUGGGGCUAUUUUUCUGUUAUGGUUUAAGACAUGCUCAAAAGACCUCCUGCUGCUUUCCUUACACCCCAAAUCACACAAGUAGUGAGUUAGGCUUUUAAGUCUUGACUUUUCAUGAGUUUCUGUUGAAAUAUGAACGUCUAGGAUGGCGAGCGGCGGUCACCCAGAGUCUUACCAGGGUUUCCUGGAGGACGGAGCAGAAUGACCAGGCUGGUGAGGGCUCAUUACUGCUGGGCCUCAGGGAAUGGCAGGCAGGAAGCUGCCCUCACCAAGGAUUUUCCACCGCUGACCCUGGGUCUGCAGUGACAGCAGCUCGAUUGCACAGGGCGGUAAAGUUAUUCAGAAAAGACCAGGGAUAAUGCACAUACAUCUUCCCUGCUCGAAGCUAACAGGCAGCUUCCUUCUGGGAUUUGCUCUCUCUACCAAUUAACUUAUAAUCUAUUCCACUUCCUCUUCCCUUACCUGCCAGUCACUGCUCUUUUCAGGGAUGACUGCUGCGAAGAGAGGACGAUUUUCUCCCCAGGUGUUUGUGACAGUUCCAUCCCACCUUUCCGUGACCGCGCGACCCUCCCAGCUCUCGGCCAUCAUCUUCUCGCUUUCUCACUUCUUGUUCUGCUACUCACACAUUUUGGAAAGUGUUGGUGAAGGUGCAGAGAAGUCCUCAUUUCCAAAGAUGUUUACCAGCACCAGGACACCUAGCGCAGUGCCUUGCAUGUGGUAUACACCAUACUCGUGUAGCUGUGUGGACGGGAACCAACCUAGUACAAGAGGCUUGUUUGUGCACAGGAGAGUGAGCAGGUGAUGGUAGAUAAGACCGAAAGGUUACACUCACCGGCAAACAUUUUUACACUUUAUUUAAUCCACUAUUUGCAACUAGUUGACCCAGUGAUGUUGGUUUAAAGCAGUGCUGUUCAGCCUUGGUCAGACACUGUGAUCACCUGAAGAGCUCUAAAAAUGCUGAUGCCCAGGUCCCACUCCAGGGAUUUGGAUUUGAUUGAUCUGUUGUAAUUUGGGUUCUGGGAAUUUCAAAAGCCACUGCCCACCCCCCUGCUGACUUAAUAAGGAGCCCGUGCCGUGAUCCUGGAGACCCAGGAUCGAAUCCCACAUCGGGCUCUCGGUACAUGGAGCCUGCUUCUCCCUCUGCCUGUGUCUCUGCCUCUCUCUCUCUCUGUGUGGCUAUCAUAAAUAAAUAAAAAUUAAAAAAAAAAAAUAAGGAGCCCGUGGUGAGGACCACAGAUUCAAGGCCAGGGAUGCAUCUGCUGUAAGUGAUGUGUGUGCGCUCUGGGGUUUUAGAAAACAGCUCUGCCCUGUUAAAAUCAAAGGACUACUUCAGAUAACUCAGCUAUUUGUCUAAACUACAAUAGGAGGAAAUGUCUUCUUAGCAGAUCUAUCUUUAUGUCAGUUGCUUUUAGAAUAGGAGGUUGCUCCGGGCACAGCAGUUUGAUUUAGUCUGUGUUGAAAAUCAUUAAUGGCCUACAGAUACCAAAAAGGGAUGAAAAGAAUUUGCAAACAUGUGGAGUGUAUUAUACAUGUUUUCAAAUUUCUCCUAUGAUUAGAAAGGAAAACUGUAUUGCUGAAGACUUGAUUUCCUAAACUCAGGCCUCAGCCAUUUCCCUAAAUUAUCCCAAGUCUUUCCAAGACACUCAGCAUUCUCUGAAGGGGAUUAUUCCCCAUGUGAAGAGUAUGAGAUGGACGCCGAUUUCAAGGGAAUUCUGCUUCUAUUGCAGAAGUCUCACUUUCUAGAACCUCCGAUGACUAGGGAAGCUGCAGGAGCAGUAUGAACUAGUGGAGUCAGGGGAGCUCUGCAGUCAGGUGGAGUCAGGAGGGUCCCAGCCCAGCCACUUAGUAGCUCUGGGGCUUUGGACAGACUUCUUGACUUGGACGACAGUUGUAUAAACCUCUUGCAAGAAGAGGCAUAAGGGUACUGAUUACAAAAACAGCAGCAAUUCAUUCUUCCUGGCAGCGCACGCCCUCUGCAAUGAGAUUUUACAGCUGCUCCCUUUCAGAGGCAGACUCUCUUCAUCCAAACUUUGCAUCAGAUCUGGUCUUACUUGCUCUGGCCAAGAGAAUGCAGUGGGACCCUUGACAGUAGGCCAGUCUUAGAUGCUUCUGUUUUUCCUUUCAGAAUACAGCUGUCUCCAAGUCCAUGUUAGCCUUGGAGAGGCUCCAGGUCCAGCCUUAGCUGGAGGAUGAGAUGCCAUGAGGAAGAGAACCACGGUGCCCCCUUGACAGUCAACUCACCCCUCAGCAGCAGAGCCCCCUGGUCAACCAGCAGCUGACCACACAUGCAUGGAGGAGCCGAGCAGACACCAGACGGGUCCUGCUGAGCCCAGCCUAAGCUGCUGACCAGCUCAGUCAUGAGCUAGGUAAGUACUGGGGCGGGUUGUUACUCAAUAGCUAACUAAUACAUCAGUUGCAGAUAAGAUGUCAAGAUGCAAUGAUGUAUUAGUUAUAAGUUACUUGGCAAACAGUAGGCAUCCUAUAGGUGCUGAUUUCCUUCUUCCUUUAUAGAAAGUUGCAUCUCUUGAGUUAAACAGAAAUAAAUAUGUAGAUGCAGAUGUAUGUGAUUGGUGCUUAAACUCACACAAAACCGCACACUGCAAGAGGGAAUAGGUGACCAGAGCCUGACCACUAGGGCUCAAGGCCAGAUUGCAAAGUAAGAAGUUUCCUUUUAUUCCCUCCAAAUCUAAACUCUGGAGACCAAGGCUGAAGAUAGAUCUGAAGACACAGAGUUCCCCACCUUCCUCUCCACACUGUCUGACCUCUGGGAAGGGGGAAUGGACCCCCCAAGAAGCAAUUGGGAAGCUCUGGUCUACUUUGGGAAACUUCUUCUCAGGGCACCAUCUCUUCUCACCUUGGGCCAAGGAGAGAGGUUGGCAGGGAAGGGGUGACACCUCUGGAAGAGAAGGGGAUGUUCAGGCAAGUCACCUCCCUGAGGUCGAGAAGAGUCACCCUUCCAGGGGGGCAGCCUCUCAACAUGAGCACUCAGCACCUAGACUGUGGCUCCUCUAAGUUAUGAGGUGCUGAAAAGUGCAAAAUAGAGUGAAUUUCAAAGAUUCAAUACAAAAAAAAAGGGAAAAUAUUUCAUCAAAACUUUUCUGUUGAUUACACCUUAAGAUAAUAUUUUACAUAUAUUAGGCUAAAUAAGUUAAUAGUAUUACAGUCAGUUUCACCUGUUUCUUUUUAUUUGCUGUAACGUUGCUGAAAAUGUAAAACUACAGACGUGGCUCACCUCCUGUUUCUACUGGACAUUCCUGUCUGAGAGGACUGCCUCCUUUUCAAAGCUCGGGGUGCUUCCUUGGAAGAGCAGAAGCCAGGAAGGUUAGAAAAUCUGAAGUUUUAAAAGAAUCUGGCAUUUUACUGUCCCCAUUUGUGAAUAAGGGAAAUUAAUAAGGCUUUGAUUUUAAGGUUUAUAUUCAUAAAAAGCAUUCAUUUCAACAUCGUGCUUGGUAAUUAUUUUGCACGGGGAUUGCAGAAGCAGGGCAAAGACACUCUCCUCGGCUCCAGGCCUUUACUAUUUAGCUUCUCGCAAAUUGGCUCUAGGUCCAGAUAUUUCCAUGUUCCACAGACUCCCUUCCUCCAGGGUGAUUAAGGAAUAAGGCUGAAGUGCAGGUUGACACUCUCACAAGCCAGAGGACUUUUCUUUCUGUGGUUUACUAGCAUUUUUAGUUUCUAAUAUCAGAAAUGCCAAUUGCCCGCCACAGCUGGGAAAAAGGACAAGAUGGAUUGAGUCUAGAAUCACACCGCAGCCAACUUUCACAGGCAUGUGCAUUACCAAAGAGGGACAUGGCUUCCAAGAAUUCCAGUACGUUCACAGGACUUGGUCCAUACCAAGUAUUAGACUGUGACAGUCCCCCAGCUGCCAUCACUGGUAUAGAAAUGGGACCGUGUGCCGAAUCCACACAGGGCUGGGAUGCUACGAAGAGAGCAAAUCUCCACAAAAACACUAAAUACUAACGCUCUUCAAUGAAAGCAAGCAUGAUGGCCGUUAGUUGAUGCAAGGCAACUUAUUUUUCUUUUCCAAUAAACAUUUUCAAGGAGAGAAGCCCAGCCUCCAUGCAGCAGUCCUUCCAGGGCUACUGGGGGAUCCAACUGAAUUCAAAAGGAAUAAAGAUGAAAUCCACAUUUUAAUUGUAAGCAGAUGUGCCCUGAAGAACUUUCAGAGCCAUAAAUCCACGUGUAUAUUAAUCAUCACAGUACCGUGAGAUGCAGGGAGAUGAUAAAGCAUGUGCCACUUAUUACGUAUUUUUUCUCACCCCCUCUGUCAACUGCUUAAGUUCCUAAGUGUAGAGACUCUCUGAGAAAAAAAAAAAAUCCCAUUGACAUCAAUGUGGACAUUUAAUAUUAUAAGAUUACUUUUUGUUUUCAUUUUCUUUGUUAACUUUAAAGCCAAAGAUAUAUAGUUCUACAUCUAACAUAUUGCAUUUUCAUAGAAACUCUGAAUGUGAAAUUCUGAGUUCAAUGUGAAAAGCUUCCUUUCUUCAAUUACUAACAAUAAUUGCAAAAUUGCCCAUUCUACGAAGAAUACUCUUCCGGGAACUGUGGGGAGAUGGAAAAGAAAUAAUCAAUAUUGUUCCCGUGACACUGGCAAGUCCCACAAAGCUGGGGCAGAGAGAGAGUCUCUCUGGGGCUUAGCUUAGCACAGCGGGAGCUUAAUUAAGAGCUUGUUGAU
rnacentral:lncRNA from 1 species